rnacentral:rRNA from 1 species
GUGGGGAAUAUUGGACAAUGGGCGAAAGCCUGAUCCAGCCAUGCCGCGUGAGUGAUGAAGGCCUUAGGGUUGUAAAGCUCUUUCAGUAGGGAAGAUAAUGACGGUACCUACAGAAGAAGCCCCGGCUAACUUCGUGCCAGCAGCCGCGGUAAUACGAAGGGGGCUAGCGUUGUUCGGAUUUACUGGGCGUAAAGCGCACGUAGGCGGAUUGGUCAGUUAGAGGUGAAAUCCUGGAGCUCAACUCCAGAACUGCCUUUAAUACUGCCAGUCUAGAGUCCAGAAGAGGUGAGUGGAAGUCCUAGUGUAGAGGUGGAAUUCGUAGAUAUUAGGAAGAACACCAGUGGCGAAGGCGGCUCACUGGUCUGGUACUGACGCUGAGGUGCGAAAGCGUGGGGAGCAAACAGGAUUAGAUACCCCAGUAGUCC